rnacentral:rRNA from 1 species
UAGGGAAUCUUCGGCAAUGGACGAAAGUCUGACCGAGCAACGCCGCGUGAGUGAAGAAGGUUUUCGGAUCGUAAAACUCUGUUGGUAGAGAAGAACGUUGGUGAGAGUGGAAAGCUCAUCAAGUGACGGUAACUACCCAGAAGGGCGGCUAACUACGUGCCAG